rnacentral:lncRNA from 1 species
CAUCUCUCUAAUCGAAGCAUCAUCUCAACUAUGCAUCGACGGCCGCGAUUUUGCAGGUGAAGCUGGUGCCGUACAACCCGGAGUACCAGGACGAGUCGGUGCUGUGGACGGAGAGCAAGGACGUCGGCAAGGGCUUCCGCUGCAUCCGCAUGGUGAACAACAUCUACCUCAACUUCGACGCCUUCCACGGCGACAAGGCCCACGGCGGCGUCCACGACGGCACCGAGAUCGUGCUCUGGAAGUGGUGCGAGGGUGACAACCAGCGCUGGAAGAUCCUCCCCUGGUGUAAGUUCAGCAAACCUCUCCAUCACCAAAACUGAUUGCAUACAUUCUUUCUGACAUUACUGAUUGCUUUCAUUUCUGCAGAGAGAUUAUCCGGGGAGAUGCAUUUGCAUUGCCAUUGUCAUCGUCGUCGUCUGCUCUGCUGCUAGCUAGCUAAUAAUUGAUCCGCUACCGAAAUAAGACCGUGUUCGAUCGGAGUAUCGGCAAUGGCAAUGGUGUCCGUCCUCAAGAGUGUCAGUUUGUGUGUGUGUGUCCAUUUGCGAGCCAGUGAUUGUCAUGAGAGGAGGGGCCCUGAUUUCUGAAACAUCUGAUGCAACCCAUCUUGCUUUCUAGUGCUAGGCCCUGUACUCUGUACUUCAGUACAGUAUGCCUAAUGAAUGAAUGAAUUGUGAACCGGCUCAUUUAUCUCGACUUUGUUUUCUCUGCUUCUGCUGUCUCUGACGUGUAAUGGUGAUGAAAAAAAAGGUUGUGGUACCAGUUCAAGUCAUAAUGAUGAAACAGCUGCUUUGAAAAUUUGGGUAUGACGAGACCACGAUUGAAGCCAUUUGGAAGCGCCUCGUCAUAUUCGAUCUGAUCUGUUUUCACCUUUAAACUUCGGUCUUUGAAACUAGGAAAUUCCCAUCAUCCGGUAACCACAGGAUGAUCCCAAUCUCCUUUUAGUAAUAGAUCUUUUUGAUAUGUCUCUUCAAACUUGUCAGCACAAAUGUGUGAACUGUCUUGUUAGUGAACCGAUCGAUCUUUGUUCUAACAAACAUGACAGAACAACACUACGACGUGCAAAAAAACCAGGUCAACAGAUAGUGUCAACCGAAGAGCAGAAACCUUGAGCAAACUUCAAAAAAUCAACAAACAAAUCAAAUGAAGAACACAACAUGUCGAGUUGCACACCGAACGAAUUAGAGCAAUAAUAAGCUAACAGUACCACUGAUCAACUUGUUUACGGUUUACCCAUAUUUUCAUGUGUUACUUCUAAGAAUUUCUAGCUCCCAAACAGGCCGUAUUCGACCGUUACGUGGGCCCUGAUCGGGCCCCUGUCCAUGAUGGUCUAACAUUUCUUCGUUUUUUUUCUUUUCUCGAUAAAAAAAAACUAAUGGUUUUAAUGGGCUUUUUGGGCCCAAAAAAUAGAUAGCGCCGACACUCUUUGGCAUAGCACCUCUCGGCCCACAGGACAGGAGUUUGACAAUAUUGAGACAGGGAGGAACAUUGCUCCCAUCGUUUUAAUGUUGCAUUUGUUUAUAAGCCGAAGCUUAAAUUAAAAACAUAAUUUUAAAGUUGAUUUUAUGGUUUUAUCAUCCUGAUUUAUUUUCAAGUAUUUUCUUUUGAAUCUUUUUUUUUCUUCAAGUGCUACAUAGGUGUCACGUCAAUGAAUUUUUUUUAAAAAAAUUAAUAAAUAAUUUUAUUACUAAACCUCAGGAGAUAAUAUUUCCACCGUAUGAACCUUUUAGCCAUGCACCAACAUUAGCGUGGCAGAACAAUGUUGCCACACAGAGUUUAUGCCACCGACACUGGCGUGGCAGGCGGGAUUAUUUUUUCAUAUUUUGUCACGCCAGGUUGCGUGGCAGCGUUAUCUUUUCAUACCACUGAUACUGGCGUGGCCAAAAGAUUUAUACGGUGAAAAUAUUUUUCUCCAAAGUUUAGUAAUAAAAUUAUUUAUUAAAAUGAUUUUAAAAUAAAAAAAUUCCACGUCAAUACAUGGGAUGAAGACCAAAUUGAACAAUUAACAGAGACACAAAGUUGGGGACGGUCUUUGUUCAGUUUUGCAGGACGUGAGUAUAAUUUGACCCAUAAUGAAGGGAUCUCAAAUAGACUUUCCAUUAUGGAUAUAUGAAAAUACUGGGCCCGUUGAUGUUUAUGCCCAUUAAUUACUCCAUGUUUCUGGCUAAAUUUUCUGGUGCACAAACGCGCGCUUAAUAAGUUUUUUUUAUCUGAGAUAAGUUAACUUUUGUGUAUAACCUUCGUCUUAUUAAAAAAAUUAUAUAACUAUUAAUUAUUUGAUUAUGAUUUGAUUUAUUAAUAAAGAAACUUUAUAUGAUUUAUAAUUUUGCAUAUGUACAUAAAAGUUUUAAAUAAAAUGAAUGAUACAAGGAUUAAAAGCUAGAUAGAAAAACCGGAGGGGUACAUCUAUCUCCAUCUCCAUGUAUUUUCUGCUCGAUCAGUUGGUUUAUCUCUGGUGGCGUGCAGCAAUCAAUUUUGUCUGCUUAAUAACAACGCAGCAGGCAGGACGGCGAACCUGAGAUUCUCCGGCCACGGCCAGGUUGCACCGUCGAUCUGCGUCGUGCAGCCAAGCCACUGCUUUUCCAGCACCCGGCUGCAAUAAUAAUAGGCCAGCCAGAUCGAUCGAGAUGGCUACCAAAACGACUAGAAAUCGAAUCAUGUAAAGCGAUCCAUCCAUCCAUCCGUGGCUGGAUCGAAUCACGCAUCUACCUUUGGGGUAGCAAGUGUCAAAUGGCAUCAUCUAUCCUAAAUUCCUAAGCCCCUGACCAUGCAAUGGAUGCUCAUCAGCCAAUCUGACCAGAAACAUUGGAUUAUUCCAACGCCACACACAUCAAUGGAAUCAAUGGCCUCAUCCUAUGCAGAUAGCAUCUCGAUCGUCUCGUCUCUUCUCUUCUCCCAGCUAGCUCUGCGCAUCGUCAUCGAUCGAUCAACACCCCGCGCCUAUAAAUUUGUCCAUGCCAUGGCUAGCCAUGCACUGCGCACAUCGACCGAACACCAGGUAGCAGGAAGCUAGCUAGCUAGCUAGCUAAGCCAUGGACGUGUACAGGCGAGAGCAGUACGGCUACGGCGGGUACGGCUAUGGCGGCGGCAUCGCGACGCCGGGGUACGCGCCGGCGGCGCCGUACGGGAUGUCGCACGUGAACGUCGAGGGGAACGGCGGGGGGGGGGCGCCGCCNNNNNNNNNNNNNNNNNNNNNNNNNNNNNNNNNNNNNNNNNNNNNNNNNNNNNNNNNNNNNNNNNNNNNGCCCCCCCCCCCCCGAAGCCGACGGUGAAGGUGUACUGCCGCGCCAACCCCAACUACGCGAUGACGGCGCGCAACGGCGCGGUGGUGCUGGCGCCGGCGAACCCCAAGGACGACUACCAGCACUGGAUCAAGGACAUGCGGUGGAGCACCAGCAUCAAGGACGAGGAGGGCUACCCCGCCUUCGCCCUCGUCAACAAGGCCACCGGCCAGGCCAUCAAGCACUCCCUCGGCCAGUCGCACCCUGUAAGCUAGCUUACUCUUAAUUCGCCAUUGAUGAUGGCCGGCCGGCUAGCUUGAGUGUGAUCGGUCAAUCCAUGGUGAUGGUGAUGGAUGUGCGCAGGUGAGGCUGGUGCCGUACAACCCGGAGGUGCUGGACGAGUCGGUGCUGUGGACGGAGAGCCGCGACGUCGGCAAUGGCUUCCGCUGCAUCCGCAUGGUGAACAACAUCUACCUCAACUUCGACGCCUUCCACGGCGACAAGUACCACGGCGGCGUCCGCGACGGCACCGAAAUCGUGCUCUGGAAGUGGUGCGAGGGCGACAACCAGCGC